rnacentral:rRNA from 1 species
AACGCUGGCGGCGUGCGUAACACAUGCAAGUCGAACGAGAAUGUGCUGACAGAUCCUUAGGGUGAAGAUAGCACAGGACAGUGGCGGAUGGGUGAGUAACGCGUAAGAAACCUGCCUUUCACACCGGGAUAGCAGCUGGAACCGGCUAUUAAUACCGGAUGACACUUUUUCCCCGCAUGAGGAAGAGGUUAAAGAAUUUCGGUGAAAGAUGGUCUUGCGUCUGAUUAGCUAGUUGGUGGGGUAACGGCCCACCAAACCAACGAUCAGUAGCCGGUCUGAGAGGAUGAACGGCCACACUGGAACUGAGACACGGUCCAGACUCCUACGGGAGGCAGCAGUGGGGAAUCUUCCGCAAUGGACGAAAGUCUGACGGAGCAACGCCGCGUGAGUGAAGACGGCCUUCGGGUUGUAAAGCUCUGUGAUCCGGGACGA